rnacentral:rRNA from 1 species
GAACGCUAGCUACAGGCUUAACACAUGCAAGUCGAGGGGCAUCAGGAAGAAAGCUUGCUUUCUUUGCUGGCGACCGGCGCACGGGUGAGUAACACGUAUCCAACCUGCCCUUUACUCGGGGAUAGCCUUUCGAAAGAAAGAUUAAUACCCGAUAGCAUAAUGAUUCCGCAUGGUUUCAUUAUUAAAGGAUUCCGGUAAAGGAUGGGGAUGCGUUCCAUUAGGUUGUUGGUGAGGUAACGGCCCACCAAGCCUUCGAUGGAUAGGGGUUCUGAGAGGAAGGUCCCCCACAUUGGAACUGAGACACGGUCCAAACUCCUACGGGAGGCAGCAGUGAGGAAUAUUGGUCAAUGGGCGCUAGCCUGAACCAGCCAAGUAGCGUGAAGGAUGAAGGCUCUAUGGGUCGUAAACUUCUUUUAUAUAAGAAUAAAGUGCAGUAUGUAUACUGUUUUGUAUGUAUUAUAUGAAUAAGGAUCGGCUAACUCCGUGCCAGCAGCCGCGGUAAUACGGAGGAUCCGAGCGUUAUCCGGAUUUAUUGGGUUUAAAGGGAGCGUAGGUGGACUGGUAAGUCAGUUGUGAAAGUUUGCGGCUCAACCGUAAAAUUGCAGUUGAUACUGUCAGUCUUGAGUACAGUAGAGGUGGGCGGAAUUCGUGGUGUAGCGGUGAAAUGCUUAGAUAUCACGAAGAACUCCGAUUGCGAAGGCAGCUCACUGGACUGCAACUGACACUGAUGCUCGAAAGUGUGGGUAUCAAACAGGAUUAGAUACCCUGGUAGUCCACACAGUAAACGAUGAAUACUCGCUGUUUGCGAUAUACAGUAAGCGGCCAAGCGAAAGCAUUAAGUAUUCCACCUGGGGAGUACGCCGGCAACGGUGAAACUCAAAGGAAUUGACGGGGGCCCGCACAAGCGGAGGAACAUGUGGUUUAAUUCGAUGAUACGCGAGGAACCUUACCCGGGCUUAAAUUGCAGUGGAAUGAUGUGGAAACAUGUCAGUGAGCAAUCACCGCUGUGAAGGUGCUGCAUGGUUGUCGUCAGCUCGUGCCGUGAGGUGUCGGCUUAAGUGCCAUAACGAGCGCAACCCUUAUCUUUAGUUACUAACAGGUUAUGCUGAGGACUCUAGAGAGACUGCCGUCGUAAGAUGUGAGGAAGGUGGGGAUGACGUCAAAUCAGCACGGCCCUUACGUCCGGGGCUACACACGUGUUACAAUGGGGGGUACAGAAGGCAGCUAGCGGGUGACCGUAUGCUAAUCCCAAAAUCCUCUCUCAGUUCGGAUCGAAGUCUGCAACCCGACUUCGUGAAGCUGGAUUCGCUAGUAAUCGCGCAUCAGCCACGGCGCGGUGAAUACGUUCCCGGGCCUUGUACACACCGCCCGUCAAGCCAUGGGAGCCGGGGGUACCUGAAGUACGUAACCGCAAGGAUCGUCCUAGGGUAAAACUGGUGA